AGGCACUGCCUUCAAACCUCUGUGUGUAUGACCUGUGGCCUCAGGGUCUCGGAACAGUGCCAGAGCAGAGCUUGCUUGUUCACAUUUGGGGCUGCUUGGUGCCACCUUAGCGAUUCCUUUAGCAGCAAGCAACAUUU
ensembl:snoRNA